CGAGCGCCCGCAAGGGGAGCGGCAGACGGGUGAGUAACGCGUAGGAACGUACCUUUUGCUACGGAAUAACUCAGGGAAACUUGUGCUAAUACCGUAUGUGCCCUUCGGGGAAAGAUUUAUCGGCAAAGGAUCGGCCCGCGUUGGAUUAGCUAGUUGGUGAGGUAAAGGCUCACCAAGGCGACGAUCCAUAGCUGGUCUGAGAGGAUGAUCAGCCACACUGGGACUGAGACACGGCCCAGACUCCUACGGGAGGCAGCAGCC
rnacentral:rRNA from 1 species